CCCUUAGAUGUUCUGGGCUGCACGCGCGCUACCCUGAUGCACUCAACGAGUUUACGACCUUGCCCGAUAGGGUUGGGUAAUCUUUUUAAAAUGCAUCGUGAUGGGGAUAGAUUAUUGCAAUUAUUAAUCUUCAACGAGGAAUUCCUAGUAAGCGCGAGUCAUCAGCUCGUGCUGAUUACGUCCCUGCCCUUUGUACACACCGCCCGUCGCUCCUACCGAUUGAGUGCUCAGGUGAAUAAUUCGGACUGCAGCAAUGUUUGGAUCCCGAACGUUGCAGCGGAAAGUUUAGUGAACCUUAUCACUUAGAGGAAGGAGAAGUCGUAACA
rnacentral:rRNA from 1 species